rnacentral:rRNA from 1 species
ACCUACUGCCAUAGCACCCUGAACAUGACCUCCGAAGCUAAAUGGGCCAGGCCUGGUUAGCAUUUGGCUGGCAGUUUACCUGGGAAUACCAGCUGCUGUAGGCU